rnacentral:rRNA from 1 species
UAAUAGGAUGCCAAGGGCGUAUGGUGGAUGCCUAGGUUCAUGGAAGCGAUGAAGGGCGCGGACUGUCUGCGAUAAGCUUCGGGGAGGUGACAAUCAACCUUUGAUCCGGAGAUUUCCGAAUAGGGGAACCUUAUAUAGAAAACCUAUAUAACCGGUGUAUGUAACUCAUACAUCAGGAGCGCACCUGGGGAAUUGAAACAUCUUAGUACCCAGAGGAAAAGAAACCAACAGGGAUUCCGUUAGUAGCGGCGAGCGAAACCGGACGAGCCUAAACCGGAGCAGUUCUUUCGAGAAUUAUGUUCCGGGGUUCGGACACAAGUGGGGAUUUAUCCCGAGAAGUCAUAAAAUAGAAAAUUAAAAGAAUGUGCUGGAACGCACAACCAUAGAGGGCGAUCGUCCCGUACUUGAAAAUUUUCUAUCUUCUUGGCUUGUGCUCCAGAGUACCCCAAGACAUGAAUAGCUUGGGGGAAUGUGCCAGUACUCACUGGUAAGGCUAAAUAUUCCAUGAGACCGAUAGUGAACCAGUACCGUGAGGGAAAGGUGAAAAGAACCCCGAAAGGGGAGUGAAAUAGAUUUGAAACCAUAUGUCUACAAGGAGUCGGAGAGGUGCUUGCACCUCGACGGCGUGCCUAUUGAAGAAUGAGCCAACGAGUGUAUAUGUGCAGCGGCCUAAAUGCGUAACGGCAUGGAGGCAGAGGGAAACCGAGUGUGAAUAGCGCGCCUGUUGUACGUAUACGACCCGAAACGAAGUGAGCUUACCAUGAGCAGGGUGAAGCGACUGUAAAAGGUCGUGGAGGCCCGAACCCACGCGCUGUUCAACACGCGGGGAUGACUUGUGGUAAGAAGUGAAAAGCUAAUCGAACUUCGUAAUAGCUGGUUCUCUCCGAAAUAUAUUUAGGUAUAGCGUCAUGUGUUCCCAUUGGGGGUAGAGCACUGGAUGGUCUCGGAUAGCCUUAACGGGCGCCGAUCCUACCAAACUCCGAAUACCAAUGGUUAAAAACAUGGCAGUCAGACUCAGGGGGCGAAGCUCCUGCGGUCGAAAGGGAAACAGCCCAGAUCUACAGCUAAGGUCCCAAAAUUCAUACUAAGUGCAAGCAAGGAGGUGAGAUUUCUCCGACAAUCAGGAGGUUGGCUUAGAAGCAGCCAUUCCUUUAAAGAUAGCGUAACAGCUCACUGAUCAAGAGAUCUUGCGCCACAAAUAAUCGGGGCUAAGUAUGAUACCGAAGCUUAGGGCUUGGUACUUAUUCGUAAGUGCUGAGCGGUAGGAGAGUGUUGUCAUCUGCAUUGAAGCCAAAGGCGUAAGCCAUGGUGGAGCGUUGACAAGUAAGAAUGUUGGCACGAGUAACCGCAAGGAGGGUGAGAUCCCCUCCCGCCGAAAGACCAAGGUUUCCUCUGCAACGAUAAUCGACGGAGGGUUAGUCAGGCCUAAGGUGAUGACGAAAGUCGCAACCGAUGGACACACGGUUAAUAUUCCGUGACUUCGUAUGUAUGCGAUGAAGGGACGGAGAAAAUGAAUGAAUGCACCUUAUUGGAUUGGUGUUGUUGGUGGUAGGAACGUAUCUUAGGAAAAUCCGGGAUACAUAAAUUCCAAAGCAGACGAAAUUUAUGACUUCGGUCAUAGAAAUAUUCACGAAGAGUCUUCCAAGAAAAGCUUCUAAGCUUAAUACAUGCGAAUCUGUACCGCAAACCGACACAGGUGGUCUGGUCGAGUAGACUAAGGCGAACGAGUGAGAGGUCCUCAAGGAACUCGGCAAAUCAGCGGCCGUAACUUCGGAAUAAGGCCCGCCCCCCACUACUUUGGAUAUUUCCAAGGUCGUGGGAGAGUAAACUUGAUGGAAAAAUUUGAGACAAAUAAGGAAAAACAACAACAGAACUCUCCAUUACCAAGGCACAGAAGUGCCCAAAGUAGUGGGGGGCCGCAGCGAAAGACUCCCUGGCGACUGUUUACCAAAAACACAGCUCCCUGCUAACUCGCAAGAGGAUGUAUAGGGGGUGACACCUGACCAAUGUCAGAAGGUUAAAUACGGGCGGUGAAGAAGAGUUUACUUUUCUUUGCUGGACUGUAUAAGCCCUGAUGAAUGUCGGCCGUAACUAUAACGGUCCUAAGGUAGCGAAAUUCCUUGUCUGGUAAGUUCAGACGUGCACGAAUGGUGUAACGACUGGGGAACUGUCUCGAGGACCUGCUCGGUGAAAAUGCAAUACCGGUGAAGAUGCCGGUUACCUGCAGCAGGACAGAAAGACCCCGGGAGCUUUACUACAGCUUCGUAUUGGCACUAUGAACAUAUUGUGCAGCAUAGGUGGGAGACUUUGAUGCAUCGGCGCUAGCUGGUGUUGAGUCGUCAGUGAAAUACCAUCCCUUAUGUUUAUAGUGUCUAACCAAUAUGGUAAAAACAUAUUGAGACAGUGCGUGGUGGGUAGUUUGUUUGGGGCGAAUUCCUCCUAAAAAGUAACGGAGGAGUCUACAAAGGUCAGUUAGGCGCGAAUGGAAACCGUGCUGAUAGUGUAAUGGCAUAAACUGGCUUGACUGUAAGUCGUACGUGACAAACAGGCGCGAAAGCGGAGCAUAGUGAACUUACUGUGGCCUUGAGAUGGCGCAGUAAAUUAACGGAUAAAAGCUACCCCGGGGAUAACAGGCUGGUAUCGCCCAAGAGUUCAUAUCGACGGCGAUGUUCGGCACCUCGAUGUCGGCUCGUCCUAUCCUGGGGCUGGAGAAGGUCCCAAGGGUUUGGCUGUUCGCCAAUUAAAAGGGCACGCGAGCUGGGUUCAGACCGUCUAGUACUUGUCUUUGACGAGUGUUAGAUUUUCUGAAUCCCUUCAAGGAGUUAUACAAAACUUUAAGAAAAAAAUUAUAGAUACAUAUUGUUAUAUGGUCUUUCUGUCCAAAGAUAAUCUAAUGUUUUAUUACAUCAAUAAAACCAAAGAACCAAUCACGACACGGCGGCACGCCAUAGAAAUGUGGUGUCGCAAAAUCAACUUAUAUCGGUGAAACCCCAACUCAAUGCGAGAGGGCAAUACCGAGGGAAGGUUGUGAAUUCUUUUGAGGAGGUGAAAACUCUACUUUUAUGUAGGGCAACGAAGCAUAUGUGCGGACUAAAAUAAUUUAUUUUAGUAACCACGAUCGUAUCUUUACGAUCCACUUCGUGCCUUCUCUCCUUUGAAGAAUUCAUGACUACCCGUAGAGACUAAAUGUUGAUUGACUAGAAAUGUUUUAGUCAAAGUUAUAGUCCGAUCCCGCCAGUAAUGGCGGCGUGACCACGUCAAACGUGGUUGCUACAAUUGCGUGAGACAGGUUGGUUCUCUAUCCGCUGCAGGCGUUGAUUCUUGACAAGAGUUGUCCCUAGUACGAGAGGACCGGGAUGAACAAACCUCUGGUCUACCAGCUGUACCGCCAGGUGCACCGCUGGGUAGCUAUGUUUGGAAUGGAUAACCGCUGAAAGCAUCUAAGCGGGAAGCCAACUUGGAGAUUAGGAAUCAUAGGGCCCUGGGAGAUGACCAGGUUGAUAGGUGCAAGGUGUAAGCGCAGUAAUGUGUUCAGCCGAAGCAUACUAAUUGCCCAUCUCCUAUUAGG